AGCGUACACGGUGGAUGCCCUGGCAGUCAGAGGCGAUGAAGGACGUGCUAAUCUGCGAUAAGCGUCGGUAAGGUGAUAUGAACCGUUAUAACCGGCGAUUUCCGAAUGGGGAAACCCAGUGUGUUUCGACACACUAUCAUUAACUGAAUCCAUAGGUUAAUGAGGCGAACCGGGGGAACUGAAACAUCUAAGUACCCCGAGGAAAAGAAAUCAACCGAGAUUCCCCCAGUAGCGGCGAGCGAACGGGGAGGAGCCCAGAGCCUGAAUCAGUGUGUGUGUUAGUGGAAGCGUCUGGAAAGGCGCGCGAUACAGGGUGACAGCCCCGUACACAAAAAUGCACAUAUUGUGAGCUCGAUGAGUAGGGCGGGACACGUGGUAUCCUGUCUGAAUAUGGGGGGACCAUCCUCCAAGGCUAAAUACUCCUGACUGACCGAUAGUGAACCAGUACCGUGAGGGAAAGGCGAAAAGAACCCCGGCGAGGGGAGUGAAAAAGAACCUGAAACCGUGUACGUACAAGCAGUGGGAGCACGCUUAGGCGUGUGACUGCGUACCUUUUGUAUAAUGGGUCAGCGACUUAUAUUCUGUAGCAAGGUUAACCGAAUAGGGGAGCCGAAGGGAAACCGAGUCUUAACUGGGCGUUAAGUUGCAGGGUAUAGACCCGAAACCCGGUGAUCUAGCCAUGGGCAGGUUGAAGGUUGGGUAACACUAACUGGAGGACCGAACCGACUAAUGUUGAAAAAUUAGCGGAUGACUUGUGGCUGGGGGUGAAAGGCCAAUCAAACCGGGAGAUAGCUGGUUCUCCCCGAAAGCUAUUUAGGUAGCGCCUCGUGAAUUCAUCUCCGGGGGUAGAGCACUGUUUCGGCAAGGGGGUCAUCCCGACUUACCAACCCGAUGCAAACUGCGAAUACCGGAGAAUGUUAUCACGGGAGACACACGGCGGGUGCUAACGUCCGUCGUGAAGAGGGAAACAACCCAGACCGCCAGCUAAGGUCCCAAAGUCAUGGUUAAGUGGGAAACGAUGUGGGAAGGCCCAGACAGCCAGGAUGUUGGCUUAGAAGCAGCCAUCAUUUAAAGAAAGCGUAAUAGCUCACUGGUCGAGUCGGCCUGCGCGGAAGAUGUAACGGGGCUAAACCAUGCACCGAAGCUGCGGCAGCGACGCUGAUGCGUUGUUGGGUAGGGGAGCGUUCUGUAAGCCUGCGAAGGUGUGCUGUGAGGCAUGCUGGAGGUAUCAGAAGUGCGAAUGCUGACAUAAGUAACGAUAAAGCGGGUGAAAAGCCCGCUCGCCGGAAGACCAAGGGUUCCUGUCCAACGUUAAUCGGGGCAGGGUGAGUCGACCCCUAAGGCGAGGCCGAAAGGCGUAGUCGAUGGGAAACAGGUUAAUAUUCCUGUACUUGGUGUUACUGCGAAGGGGGGACGGAGAAGGCUAUGUUGGCCGGGCGACGGUUGUCCCGGUUUAAGCGUGUAGGCUGGUUUUCCAGGCAAAUCCGGAAAAUCAAGGCUGAGGCGUGAUGACGAGGCACUACGGUGCUGAAGCAACAAAUGCCCUGCUUCCAGGAAAAGCCUCUAAGCAUCAGGUAACAUCAAAUCGUACCCCAAACCGACACAGGUGGUCAGGUAGAGAAUACCAAGGCGCUUGAGAGAACUCGGGUGAAGGAACUAGGCAAAAUGGUGCCGUAACUUCGGGAGAAGGCACGCUGAUAUGUAGGUGAAGUCCCUCGCGGAUGGAGCUGAAAUCAGUCGAAGAUACCAGCUGGCUGCAACUGUUUAUUAAAAACACAGCACUGUGCAAACACGAAAGUGGACGUAUACGGUGUGACGCCUGCCCGGUGCCGGAAGGUUAAUUGAUGGGGUUAGCCGCAAGGCGAAGCUCUUGAUCGAAGCCCCGGUAAACGGCGGCCGUAACUAUAACGGUCCUAAGGUAGCGAAAUUCCUUGUCGGGUAAGUUCCGACCUGCACGAAUGGCGUAAUGAUGGCCAGGCUGUCUCCACCCGAGACUCAGUGAAAUUGAACUCGCUGUGAAGAUGCAGUGUACCCGCGGCAAGACGGAAAGACCCCGUGAACCUUUACUAUAGCUUGACACUGAACAUUGAGCCUUGAUGUGUAGGAUAGGUGGGAGGCUUGGAAGUGUGGACGCCAGUCUGCAUGGAGCCGACCUUGAAAUACCACCCUUUAAUGUUUGAUGUUCUAACGUUGACCCGUAAUCCGGGUUGCGGACAGUGUCUGGUGGGUAGUUUGACUGGGGCGGUCUCCUCCUAAAGAGUAACGGAGGAGCACGAAGGUUGGCUAAUCCUGGUCGGACAUCAGGAGGUUAGUGCAAUGGCAUAAGCCAGCUUGACUGCGAGCGUGACGGCGCGAGCAGGUGCGAAAGCAGGUCAUAGUGAUCCGGUGGUUCUGAAUGGAAGGGCCAUCGCUCAACGGAUAAAAGGUACUCCGGGGAUAACAGGCUGAUACCGCCCAAGAGUUCAUAUCGACGGCGGUGUUUGGCACCUCGAUGUCGGCUCAUCACAUCCUGGGGCUGAAGUAGGUCCCAAGGGUAUGGCUGUUCGCCAUUUAAAGUGGUACGCGAGCUGGGUUUAGAACGUCGUGAGACAGUUCGGUCCCUAUCUGCCGUGGGCGCUGGAGAACUGAGGGGGGCUGCUCCUAGUACGAGAGGACCGGAGUGGACGCAUCACUGGUGUUCGGGUUGUCAUGCCAAUGGCACUGCCCGGUAGCUAAAUGCGGAAGAGAUAAGUGCUGAAAGCAUCUAAGCACGAAACUUGCCCCGAGAUGAGUUCU
rnacentral:rRNA from 1 species